AGUUCGGAUUGCAGGCUGCAACCCGCCUGCAUGAAGUUGGAAUCGCUAGUAAUCGCGGAUCAGCAUGCCGCGGUGAAUACGUUCCCGGGCCUUGUACACACCGCCCGUCACACCAUGAGAGUCGGGGACACCCGAAGUCCGUAGUCUAACCGCAAGGGGGACGCGGCCGAAGGUGGAUUCGAUAAUUGGGGUGAAGUCGUAACAAGGUAUC
rnacentral:rRNA from 1 species